AACGAACGCUGGCGGCAUGCCUAACACAUGCAAGUCGAACGAGACCUUCGGGUCUAGUGGCGCACGGGUGCGUAACGCGUGGGAACCUGCCCUUAGGUUCGGAAUAACUCCCCGAAAGGGGUGCUAAUACCGGAUAAUGUCUUCGGACCAAAGAUUUAUCGCCUUUGGAUGGGCCCGCGUUGGAUUAGCUGUUUGGUAGGGUAAAAGCCUACCAAGGCGACGAUCCAUAGCUGGGCUGAGAGGAUGCUCAGCCACACUGGGAAUGAGACACGGCCCAGAAUCCUACGGGAGGCAGCAGUGGGGAAUAUUGGACAAUGGGCGAAAGCCUGAUCCAGCAAUGCCGCGUGAGUGAUGAAGGCCUUAGGGUUGUAAAGCUCUUUUACCCGGGAUGAUAAUGACAGUACCGGGAGAAUAAGCUCCGGCUAACUCCGUG
rnacentral:rRNA from 1 species